GCGAUAAGUAAUGUGAAUUGCAGAAUUCAGUGAAUCAUCGAAUCUUUGAACGCACAUUGCGCCCGCCAGUAUUCUGGCGGGCAUGCCUGUUCGAGCGUCAUUACAACCCUCAGGCCCCCGGGCCUGGCGUUGGGGAUCGGCGGAAGCCCCCUGCGGGCACAACGCCGUCCCCCAAAUACAGUGGCGGUCCCGCCGCAGCUUCCAUUGCGUAGUAGCUAACACCUCGCAACUGGAGAGCGGCGCGGCCACGCCGUAAAACACCCAACUUCUGAAUGUUGACCUCGAAUCAGGUAGGAAUACCCGCUGAACUUAAGC
rnacentral:misc_RNA from 1 species